rnacentral:rRNA from 1 species
UACGGAGGGUGCGAGCGUUGUCCGGAAUCAUUGGGCGUAAAGGGCGCGUAGGUGGCCCGGCAAGCGUGCGGUGAAAGUCGGGGGCUCAACCCCCGAUCGGCCGUGCGAACUGCGGGGCUGGAGCACUGUAGAGGCAGGCGGAAUUCCGGGUGUAGCGGUGGAAUGCGUAGAGAUCCGGAAGAACACCGGUGGCGAAGGCGGCCAACUGGACCAUUUCUGACGCUGAGGCGCGAAAGCGUGGGGAGCAAACAGG